AACUUAUCGCGCAGGGUGAGGAUGAGAUGCGAGCGUUGCACUCCGGGCGGAGGGAAGCCGUCGUUCCAAGAAAUCCUGAUCUCCGAUUCAAUUCCACCACGAAAACAUGUCAAAUACAUCUGAUUCAAAUGGUGAACUUUGGAUGAUUGUUGGCCAUUUCGGAUACCAGGUCCAUCUUGGAGAUUUGUCGACAUGAUACAUAUUGGUCUGUACCGUGUACCGACAUAUGGUAUGCUGUGGCAUGCCGAAGGGGACUCAGGUGAGCUGUCUCGAUGGCGACUCGGACCGAUAUGUACCAUCCGUACCAUAUUGACUCGGGCGGUACAGCAAACCUGCUGCAAAAAUAAGAAUAUGUGGAAAUAAACAAUAGGCUUGAUGGCUAAAGGAGACCGCCCAAAAUUGAGAAGGUCCAAAUGGAUGAUUUGAUGAGAUUUCACUAUCAACUGCCACCUGAACAAUAGCUUGCUAAUGAUGAGUACCAAGUUCUUAGAGAUGCAAAAAAUUAGGGAGGAGGAAAACUUUCUUGAGAGACUACAUAAACUUCAGCUAGGUACAAAUCUUCAUCUCUUGGUUUUAGUUUGAAUUCAUGCAAUUAUAAAGCAACCUUCCAAGAUAAACUUGUACAUGGGAAGAGUUUAGACAAGGGGCAGAUUACAAGAUCUAUUGCAGAAAUGAGGUUCUCCUCUUGGUUGUAUAAAUAACCCAUUAUGAGAAUGGAACAAAUCCUCCAAAAGUCCUGAUCAUACAAGGCAUGUUAGUAACAAAUAGCGUUGAUUCAGAUUAUUU